rnacentral:rRNA from 1 species
AUUGAACGCUGGCGGCAGGCCUAACACAUGCAAGUCGAACGGUAGCACAGAGAGCUUGCUCUCGGGUGACGAGUGGCGGACGGGUGGGUAAUGUCUGGGAAACUGCCUGAUGGAGGGGGAUAACUACUGGAAACGGUAGCUAAUACCGCAUAACGUCUUCGGACCAAAGUGGGGGACCUUCGGGCCUCACACCAUCGGAUGUGCCCAGAUGGGAUUAGCUAGUAGGUGGGGUAAUGGCUCACCUAGGCGACGAUCCCUAGCUGGUCUGAGAGGAUGACCAGCCACACUGGAACUGAGACACGGUCCAGACUCCUACGGGAGGCAGCAGUGGGGAAUAUUGCACAAUGGGCGCAAGCCUGAUGCAGCCAUGCCGCGUGUAUGAAGAAGGCCUUCGGGUUGUAAAGUACUUUCAGCGGGGAGGAAGGCGAUAAGGUUAAUAACCUUAUCGAUUGACGUUACCCGCAGAAGAAGCACCGGCUAACUCCGUGCCAGCCGCCGCCGUAACAC